CAAGGGCUUGCCAAAUUGGACAAUUUUGUUCUAUUACACUUGCUAAUUUUUAAGUUCAACGUUAUCACAAAGGUCCUUCUAGGUAGAUUAGCAAAAAUUGUCCACAAUAUCAUUUCUUCCUCUUAGUGAGGUUUCAUCAAAGGCCAUUAUUAAAAGCAUGCACUCUAUUGUGCUGAGUAAUUUUGCUUGGUAAAUUGGGGAUGGUAGAAAGGCGAAUUUUUGGACGGACUUAUGGAUUGAUCGUCAUUUGUUCUCUCUUCUCGACAUUCCUUCUAAUCUUCAAGAUAAUCUUAAAGGCUAAGUUUGUGUUGUUUCUUUUUUUAAAUGCGGUGUUGAAUUUUGGGGAGGAACCAACAUGAUCUAUGUGAAGUAAUUCAAUCAUAUUUGGAGUUGUAGAUGUCCAAUUGGAAUCAAAUCAAGUGCAAAAUUAAAGCUAAGAUCCAUAGUUACAACUUUCACGAAGACACCGAAACCAAAUUUGUGCCCUAGCAGAGAAGCUCAAAGAUGGCUGUUUCUAACACCAUUGAAGGAGUUUUAUCAAGAAUCAUUCAUGAAUCUUUCCUGUAAUUCUUCUUUAAUCUCUAUAUUUUGUAUCUAUGUCAUGAGUAACUAAACCCUAAUUGUUAGGGAUGCAUGAAACAACAUGGAACCCUUAAGUUUAUUGAAUUAUUUUUCUCA